CGUCAGCUCGUGUCGUGAGAUGUUGGGUUAAGUCCCGCAACGAGCGCAACCCUCGUCCUUAGUUGCUAACGAUUCGGUCGAGCACUCUAAGGAGACUGCCUUCGUAAGGAGGAGGAAGGUGGGGACGACGUCAAGUCAUCAUGGCCCUUACGCCUAGGGCGACACACGUGCUACAAUGGCAUAUACAAUGAGACGCAAUACCGCGAGGUGGAGCAAAUCUAUAAAAUAUGUCCCAGUUCGGAUUGUUCUCUGCAACUCGAGAGCAUGAAGCCGGAAUCGCUAGUAAUCGCAAAUCAGCCAUGUUGCGGUGAAUACGUUCCCGGGUCUUGUACUCACCGCCCGUCACACCAUGGGAGUUGAUUUCACUCGAAGUGGAAAUACUAAACUAGUUAUCCCCCACAGUGGAAUCAGCGACUGGGGUGAAGUCGUAACAAGGUAACCGUAGGAGAACCUGCGGUUGGAUCACCUCCUUUCUA
rnacentral:rRNA from 1 species